rnacentral:rRNA from 1 species
CCUACGGGCGGCACCAGUGGGGAAUCUUGCGCAAUGCGCGAAAGCGUGACGCAGCAACGCCGCGUGGGGGAAGACGGCCUUCGGGUUGUAAACCCCUUUCAGUUGGGACGAAGCUCCGUCCGUUAACAGCGGGCUGGAGUGACGGUACCUUCAGAAGAAGCCCCGGCUAACUACGUGCCAGCAGCCGCGGUAAUACGUAGGGGGCAAGCGUUGUCCGGAAUCAUUGGGCGUAAAGAGCGUGUAGGCGGCCCGAUAAGUCCGCCGUGAAAGUCCAGGGCUCAACCCUGGGAUGCCGGUGGAAACUGUCGGGCUAGAGUCCGGAAGGGGCGGGUGGAAUUCCUGGUGUAGCGGUGAAAUGCGCAGAUAUCAGGAGGAACACCAAUGGCGAAGGCAGCUCGCUAGGACGGUACUGACGCUGAGACGCGAAAGCGUGGGGAGCAAACAGGAUUAGAUACCCCAGUAGUC